GCCGGGAUGGCCGAGUGGAUCAAGGCGCAGGCCUUGAGAGCCUGUGGCCCAUCAGGGCCUCGAGGGUUCGAAUCCCUCUCCCGGCGCCA
rnacentral:tRNA from 1 species